rnacentral:rRNA from 1 species
UACAGAGGUCUCAAGCGUUGUUCGGAUUCAUUGGGCGUAAAGGGUGCGUAGGCGGCGCGGUAAGUCGGGUGUGAAAUCUCGGAGCUUAACUCCGAAACUGCAUUCGAUACUGCCGUACUUGAGGACUGGAGAGGAGACUGGAAUUUACGGUGUAGCGGUGAAAUGCGUAGAUAUCGUAAGGAAGACCAGUGGCGAAGGCGGGUCUCUGGACAGGUUCCUGACGCUGAGGCACGAAGGUCAGGGGAGCAAACGGG